rnacentral:rRNA from 1 species
UGGGGAAUAUUGCACAAUGGGCGCAAGCCUGAUGCAGCCAUGCCGCGUGUAUGAAGAAGGCCUUCGGGUUGUAAAGUACUUUCAGCGGGGAGGAAGGGAGUAAAGUUAAUACCUUUGCUCAUUGACGUUACCCGCAGAAGAAGCACCGGCUAACUCCGUGCCAGCAGCCGCGGUAAUACGGAGGGUGCAAGCGUUAAUCGGAAUUACUGGGCGUAAAGCGCACGCAGGCGGUUUGUUAAGUCAGAUGUGAAAUCCCCGGGCUCAACCUGGGAACUGCAUCUGAUACUGGCAAGCUUGAGUCUCGUAGAGGGGGGUAGAAUUCCAGGUGGAGCGGUGAAAUGCGUAGAGAUCUGGAGGAAUACCGGUGGCGAAUGCGGCCCCCUGGACGAAGACUGACGCUCAGGUGCGAAAGCGUGGGGAGCAAACAGG